AUGUAUAAUCGUGACAAUUUGAAGUCCAUAGACGCACAUCCAGCAGAGCCAUGGAUUUUAACAGGUCAUAUAAGUGGAUAUGCUCGCAUAUGGGACUAUGAGAUGAAGUACCCGACGAAUUUUUUUAAAGUGUCCGACAAUGCAGUAAUGGUCGUCAAAUUUAUUGCAAGAAAGGAAUGUAUUGUAGCUUUGACAUCUGAUGGUAACCUUCAUGUGUAUGACUGUCCGUGUGUCACAAAAAUUGAAAAGACUACACAUGUUAAACCUGUUAGUGGCUGUUCGGUACUAGCUGUUCAUCCAACUUUACCAUCAGUGUUGUCAGCGUCCAAUACUGGCCUAAUAGUUUUAGACUGGGACCAGGCCUGGGAGCAGACACAAGAAUUUCAGACUUAUAAUAACCCAGGGUCAGUGGCAUUUAACCCUGGGGACGACAAAUGUUUCACGGGUGGGUUUCGUGAUGAUGGCGAAAUAAAGGUUUGGAGACUUGAUUCGGAGCACCCUGAAUAUUCUUUGAUUGGGCAUUUUGAGGGUGUGCGCUGCCUGGAUUUUAUCAGACGAGGAGAUAAACACUAUUUGGUCAGUGGCUCUAUGGAUUGCACUGCCAAGAUCUGGAACUUGCAGAAAAGGAAGUGCAUUUGUACGCUGGAAGCUAUGUCUCCAGUUCGUUGUCUCCUUGCCCAUCCAGAUGACCUUCCAGUUCUUAUUACAGGAACUGAACAUGGCAUCAUUCAGGUGUGGAGCUCCGUUGAUUUCAGGCUCAAAAGAACCAUUAACUUAGGCGGUGGUGGACCUGUUAUUGGUCUCGCAUGUAUGAUGGGCUCACAGAGGAUUGUGAUUGGGCAACAGAACGCAAUGUCUACCAUGGGAAUCACUAACGACAAAGCAUUGAGACCGAAGAGUUUUAUGCCCUGGGCGCAGCUCCGCCGGAAGAAGCGACGUGUGCACAUCCGUGGGCUGGCUAGGGCUUACAAGGAUCCAGUAUCUCUACAAACUGGACUAUUGACAAAAAAGAGUGAUGUCUACAGUUUUGGAGUACUACUCUGUGAACUUGUAUGUGGGAGGAAGGGCACAUAUUCGGACCAUAACAGCUUACGGAGACAUUUUUUUGAUGCUCACGAAAAAUGA
rnacentral:rRNA from 1 species